rnacentral:rRNA from 1 species
UGCGCAGGCGGUCUGUUAAGCAAGGUGUGAAAGCCCCCGGCUCAACCGGGGGAAUUGCGCUUUGAACUGGCAGGCUGGAGUGAGAUAGAGGUGUGUGGAACUUCCGGUGGAGCGGUGAAAUGUGUUGAUAUCGGAAGGAACGCCAGAGGCGAAAGCGACACACUGGGUCUCAACUGACGCUGAGGCAAAGCCAGGGGAGCGAAACG